rnacentral:rRNA from 1 species
GACGAAGGAUGCAAGCGUUAUCCGGAUUCAUUGGGUUUAAAGGGAGCGUAGGUGGCCUGCUAAGUCAGCGGUGAAAUCUCUGGGCUUAACCCAGAAAUUGCCAUUGAUACUGGUGGGCUUGAGUGCAGUUGCUGUUGGCGGAAUAUGACAUGUAGUGGUGAAAUACAUAGAGAUGUCAUAGAACACCGAUUGCGAAGGCAGCUGACGAAACUAUAACUGACACUGAGGCUCGAAAGUGCGGGGAUCAAACAGG